AAAAAUGAAUCAUCAGGAGUAGGCAGCGCACUAAGUAAGUGAGUAAACUGAGAUAUGUCUAAGGAGUUAAUCAAGGCAAUUUUUCCAUAAAUAGACAGAAGCUCUCUGUCAGGGUAUACGAAGGGCUGUAGGAAGUUAGGCGCAGGAGAGCAGAUAGUUGGUAGCAACACAGAGCCUUUUAUUUGGCGACCCAAAAGCACACAGCACAAACACGAAAUACAAAUAAGGUUUUAACAUAACCCAGCUUAACCAGCCUAACGUGCGCAUACAUGAACAGACAAACAAUACCACACAAAGACAUGGGGAAAACAGAGGGUUAAAUACACAACACAUAAUGAGGGAAAUGAGAACCAGGUGUGUGGAAAAACGAGACAAAACAAAUGGAAAAUGAAAAAUGGAUCGUGAUGGCUAGAAGACCGGCAACUUCGACCGCCAAACACCGCCCGAACAAAGAGAGGCAUCGACUUCGGUAGACGACCCCCCCCCCCCCUCGGGGACGACCCGGAGGGCGAGGCGCAGGGCAAUCCGGAUGGAGACGGUGGAACUCUCGCAGCAGAGAAGGAUCCAACACCUCCUCCACUGGAACCCAGCAUCUCUCCUCCGGACCAUACCCCUCCUAGUCCACGAGAUAAUGAAGGCCCCUCCCCCGACGUCUCGAAUCCAGUAUGGAACGAACAGAGUACGCCGGGGCCCCGUCGAUGUCCAGAGGGGGCGGAGGAACCUCCCGCACCUCAGAUUGCUGGAGCGGGCCAGCCACCACCGGCCUGAGGAGAGACACAUGGAACGAGGGGUUAAUGCGGUAAUCGGGGGAAGCUGUAACCUGUAACAAACCUCGUUCAGUCUCCUCAGGACUUUAAAUGGCCCCACAAACCGCGGACCCAGGUCCGGCAGGGCAGCGGAGGGGCAGGUUUCAGGUCGAGAGCCAGACUGGUCCCCCGGUGCGAACACCGGGGUCUCACUACGGUGACAGUCUGCGGCAACUUUCUGGCGCAGCACGGCGCGCUGAAGAUGAACAUGGGCGGUGUCCCAUGUCUCCUCCGCGCGCCGGAACCAAUCAUCCACCACAGGAGCCUCGGUCUGACUGAUGCCAAGGAGCCAGAACCGGCUGGUACCCCAAUACACACUGGAAGGGGGUGAGGUUAGUGGAGGAGUGGCGGAGCGAGUUCUGGGCCAUCUCUGCCCAGGGCACGAACAUUGCUCACUCCCCUGGCCGGUCCUGGCAAUAGGACCUCAGAAACCUACCCACAUCCUGGUUAACUCUCUCCACCUGCCCGUUACUCUCGGGAUGAAACCCUGAGGUAAGGCUGAUCGAGACCCCCAGACGUUCCAUGAAUGCCUUACAGAUCCUCGAAAUCAACUGGGGACCCGAUCAGACACUAUAUCCUCAGGUACCCUGUAGUGCCGGAAAACGUGUGUAAACAAGGCCUCCGCAGUCUGUAGGAGUCGAGAAGAAGUCACAGGGGCGGAGCUUCGGUGGCGCACCCGAGCGCUGAGAGAGCACAGCUCCUAUCCGAGCCUCGGACACGUCCACCUCCAACAUGAAUGCCAAAGAGGGAUCCGGAUGAGCCAGCACGGGAGCCGAGGUAAACAGAGCCCUCAGGUGACUAAAAGCCCUGUCCGCCUCAGCUGUCCACUGGAAGCGCACUGGGCCCGCCUUCAGCAGUGAGUUAAUGGGAGCCGCUACCUGACCAAAACCUCAGAUAAACCUCCAGUAGUAGUUGGCAAACCCUAAGAACUUCUGCGCCUCCUUUACCGUGGUGGAAGUCGGCCAAUUACGCACGGCUGAAAUGCGGUCACUCUCCAUCUCCACACCUGAUGUGGAAAUGCGGUAUCCUAGGAAGGAGACGGACUGUUGAAAGAACAGGCAUUUCUCAGCCUUGGCGUACAGGUCAUGCUCCAACAAUCGACCAAGCACCUUGCGCACCAGGGACACAUGCUCGGCACGUGUAGCGGAGUAUAUCAGAAUGUCAUCAAUAUACACCACUACACCCUGCCCGUGCAGGUCCCUGAAAAUCUCGUCUACAAUGGAAGACUGAUGGAGCAUUCAUCAACCCGUACGGCAUGACAAGGUACUCAUAGUGCCCAGAGGUAGUACUGAAAGCCAGGUUAUAAGCGCUCCUGAGAUCUAGUUUGGUGAAAAAGGUCGCCCCCGUGCAUUGACUAUCGCUGUGGCUAUAAGCGGUAGCGGGUAACUAUACCUCACAGUGAUCUGAUUCAGACCCCGAUAGUAAUACACGGGCGCAGACCUCCCUCCUUCACAAAAAAGAAGCUCGAAGAGCCGGUGAAGUGGAGGACCGAAUGUAUCCCUGACGCAGGGAUUCAGAGACAUAUGUUUCCAUAGCCUCCGUCUCUGCCUGUGAGAGGGGAUACACGUGACUCCUGGGAAGUGCAGCGUCUACCAGGAGAUCUAUCGCACAAUCGCCCCAUCGAUGAGGUGGUAAUUGAGUCGGCAUAUUCAGAGAGAAUGCGCACGGUGGAAACCUGGUCUGGACUCUCCACCGUAGUAGCACCAACGGAAACCCCUAAACACCUACCUGAGCACUCUCGCGACCACCCCGUGAGAGCCCUCUGUGACCAAGAAACAGUGGGGUUAUGACAAGCUAACCAGGGUAGGCCCGCACCACGGGAAAUGCAGGAGACUCAAUAAGGAAGAGACUAAUUCUCUCCGUAUGACCCCCUUGCGACACCAUUCCCAAAGGAGCGGUGAGCUCCCUAAUUAACCCUGACCCUAAUGGUCGACUAUCUAAGGCGUGAACGGGGAAGGGCACAUCCACGGGAACGAUGGGGAUCCCUAAACCUUGGGGAAAUGAUCUGUCAAUAAAAUUCCCAGCCGCGCCUGAAUCGAUGAGCACCUUAUGCUGGGAAUGUGGGGAAAACUCAGGAAAAGUAACAAACAAAAACAUGUGCAACAGAGGGCUCUGGGUGGGAAUUGUGUCUUCUCACCUGGGGUGACGCCAGAGUGCGCUGCCUGCUGCCUCGAACCCUAGAGGAACCAACACGGCACUGACCAGCAGUGUGACCUCUGCGGCCACAGAUGGUACACGUGAAAGCCCCUCCUCCGGUCUCCCUGUGCACAGCACCUCCCAGCUCCAUAGGCACCGGAGCGGUGGUGCUGGGAACGGGAAUCGACAGAGCCCUCUCUGGACAUCCGCGGGUGACCAGCAGGUUAUCCAACCGAAUGGACAUGUCCACCAGCUGGUCGAAGGUAAGAGUGGUAUCCCUGCAGGCCAACUCCCGACGGACAUCCUCGCGCAGGCUGCAAUGGUAGUGGUCGAUGAGGGCCCUAUUGUUCCAUCCCGCUCCGGCGGCCAAGGUCCGAAACUCCAGUGCGAACUCAUGGGUGCUCUUCGUCUCCUGCCUCAGAUGUUCACCCGCCGCUCUACCCUUGGGCGGGUGGUUGAAUACUGCCCGGAAACGGCGGGUGAACUCCGUGAAGUCCUCCAACGCCGCAUCUCCUUCUCUCCACACGGCGUUGGCCCACUCCAGAACUCUCCCUGAAAGGCACGAGACGAGGGUGGACACCCUCUCCCUUCCCGAGGGAGCUGGAUAAACGGUGCCAAGGUAGAGGUCCAGCUGUAGCAGGAAGCCCUGGCACUGUGCCGUCGUCGAAUCAUACUCCCCGGGAAGGGCGAGAUGCAUCCCACUGGAACCGGGUACAGGAGGAACGGGUAGUGAGGACCCCUGUUGUGCUGGAGGAGGUACCGCCCUGUCUCUCCCAGCGAUCCAUCGUCUGGACGACACGGUCCAUGGCGGUUCCGAGAUGGUGAAUCAACGUCGUGUGCUCCUGGACGCUCUCCUCGACUCCGCUACCAUAGGUACCUGCUCCUGCUGACUCCAUCAAAAUAAGGGUUUAACAUAACCCAGCUUAACCAGCCUACCGUGCGCAUACAUGAACAGAUAAACAAUACCACACAAAGACAUGGGGAAAACAGAGGGUUAAAUACACAACACAUAAUGAGGGAAAUGAGAACCCGGUGUGUGGAAAAAUGAGACAAAACAAAUGGAAAAUGAGAAAUGGAUCGUGAUGGCUAGAAGACCGGCGACUUCGACCGCCAAACAUCGCCCGAACAAGGAGAGGCAUCAACUUCGGAAGAAGUCGUGACACUCUCCAAGCUAUUUACCUCUCCAUGGUUGCAGGAUCUUGUUUAUUUUUACAAGUUUUCUAUUGAAAUUCAUUGUGGAGAGCUUAUUUACAGCUUUUGUGAUAUGAAUACCAAGUAUGUCUACUUCACCAUCAGCCCAUUUUAUAGGUAAACUGCAGGGUAAUAUAAAAGUUGUAUUUUUUAAAGAUCGAAUACGUAAUAUUGUACUUAUCAUUAUUAGGUUUUAGUCCAGAGAGUACAGAAAAGUUAUCUAGAUCUUCAAUGAGACAUUGCAGGGAUCUAGCUUGUGGACUUAAUAUAAAACUUGAGUCAUCGGCAUACAUGGACACCUUUGUUUUUAAGCCUUGGAUUUCUAAUUCUCUAAUGUUGUUAUUGGAUCUGAUUUUAAUAGCUAGUAUUUCGAUGGCUAUAACAAAAAUAUAUGGUAACAGCGGAAACCCUUGUUUAACUCCUCUUGACAAUUCAAAACUCUCUGAGAAGUAGUCGUUAUUUACUAUUUUACACCUGGGGUUGCUAUGCAUAAUUUUUACCCAUUUUAUAAGAGAAUUACCUCAAUUGAAAAAAUCCAGGCAUUUAUAAAUAAAAUCCAGUCUUACUUUAUCAAAUGCCUUUUCAAAAUCCGCUAUAAAUACCAGGCCUGGCUUCUUAGAUGUUUCAUGAUGUUCUAUUAUUUCUAGUAGUUGUCGUAUAUUAUCUCCAAUGUAUCGUCCAUAUAAAAAAACCUAUCUGAUCAGGAUGAACAAUACAUGGUAAAACCCGUUUAAUUCUGAGUGCUCUGUAUUUCGCUAGUAUUUUUGCAUCGCAACAUUGAAGUGUAAGGGGCCUCUAGUUUUUUUAGAUAGACUGGAUCUUUAUAUUUGCCAUCUGGGUCUUGUUUUAAAAAUAGUGAAAUCAGACCUUCCUGCUGAGUACGUGACAGGCUACCAUUUCCAUAGGAGUAGUUAAAACAAUAACAAUGGAGCUUUUAGUAUAUCAAAAAAGCUUGAUAUAGUACCUCUACCGCUAUGCCAUCAAGCCCUGGGGUUUUUCCAGACUGAAAGGAUUUAAUAGCCUCAAAGUUCUUCCUCUGUCAUUUGGCCUUCGCACUGAUCUUUCUGUACAUUUGUUAAUUUUCCAUUUUUUAUAUAAUUUGGAAAGAAUUCCAUACUGUAAUCUUCGUUCAGUGGGAGAGGAUGAGACGGAAAAGAGAAAAUCUGCCUAAAAUAAUUAGCUUCCUCUUUUAAAAUAUAAUUCUAAGAAUAAUAGAUGACUCCGUCUCCACUAAUGCGUUUCUGCAAAUUAUUGUUGUUCCUGUAUUGGAGAUUCAGGAAGAAUUUUGUGCAUUUUUCUCCAUAUUCCAUCCAAUUUGCUUUAU
rnacentral:lncRNA from 1 species